AUUUUUCAUUUUUGGUCCUUUAUUUUAUUAGUUUUUGAUGUAUUCUUUUAAUGUAAUAUAAUUUUAUUAAACCAAGACCUAAUGGGGUGUUGAAGCUCAACCCAAUCGCCAUGCUGUCCUUGGAGCCACAUAGUCGCGUCCUAAUUUGGUGGUCCUAAUGGGUCUAUAUGAUUUUAUCUAAAGUUGAUUCCUUUUUUACCCUUACUUUUAGUGGAGAAAGCUAUGUUUGAUAUUAGUAUGUUAAUCUUCCCCUUGUCUUUUAUCCUUUUUGUCCCACAAGGUUUCCUUUUAUUUUACUUGUUAAAUUACUUAACUGUCCAUUGCCAUCUUUUGCUUUUUCCCCCAAGAUUCUUGUUUAUCAUUCAUGAUGAGAGUAUAUUUAGACAAAACAAGAAAAGCAGAACUUCGACCAUUUCUUUCACUACCCCUGUUGUUCACGUCUUGCUUAUUCACAUUUACUUUCCUUCUUUGCCCCUCCUUGAAUACGUGAAUAAUGGAUGCCUCUUCCGGAGCUUAUAUUUUUACAUUUUUCUGCAUAUCCCAAAUUGCCCAUCUGUUACAAGCCUCCACAACUGAUGCUUUAAAAUUGUUUUAUUGUAGUCUUCUAUUUUUAUGGACAUGUUCUGCCCCUUUUGUUUUUUUUUCUUUAACAUAUCCCAUAUUUAUUUAGCUGAGUCACAUAUAUUUUCAAACAAACUUAAAGAGAUAUUGGUGUAUUGUAUUGCCAUCUACUUGUUUUCAUAGCAUUUAGUAUCAGAUCUAUAUAUAUUUUCUUUAAUGAAGUACAACUUAUCUGAUACCAUUUACUUUCAUCAGGUACUCAUCAUAUUUUCUUUAAUUCACUUCUCUUGAAUUUUAAUUUAUAAUCUUUUAGGCAAGAACCAUACAAGAAUUAGAAAAAAGGGACUUUGGGAAUUUGAGGCAAGAGGGUGAAGAUGGCGAGCUGCAACCAAAAGUAGUGAAACGAGGCAGACUGCCAAGUAAGCACCUGAAAAACCACCUGGCAGACACCCAUUGGAUCAUGCCGGUCCAAAGUCUGCCACUCUGGCAACUCCUAAAGACAACACAACCAAGUCUACUCCUUACAAUCUAAGAAGAGGACCCAUGUUGCAUAACAGCUGCAACAGAGAACAACCCUACUCUAAAUUAUUAUCAGAGUGGAAUGAAGAGUUUCCAGUGCGCAUUUGGAGGGCGAAUAUGAAAUAUGGAAUUAUUAAAGAUUUUAUUGUAGAUGAGAGUAGGCAUGACACUUACAAGCAAUGUUAUGUCUCCAACUUUUGUGGAGAAAAGAAGCAGUUAAUGGUGGUAGGUGAUGGUGAUGGUGAUGGUGAUGGUGAUGGUGAUGGUUAUGCAAGAAGUUUAACUUGUUUUGCUGCUAAUCUUGGCCCUGUUGUCUGGAAAGUUGCUUUAAAGAAAAUGGAUAAAGCUUUACCUUGUGUUGAUGCACAAGGUACAACAGUAGAAUCUGAGGGUAUUUUUGGGAAAUCAUCUUGUUGGCAGCAGCUUGAAGAGGGCAAUGUAGGUUAAUGAGGGAUGAGAUUGAAGUGUUGUAGGUAAUAUAGAUAAACGCAUGGGAAAUAUUAAGGUAUAUUGAUUUUAUUAAAGGUUAAGGUUUAAUGUUUUUUCUUGGAUGUUGAUAGUUAAGUAGUGGACUGAUAAAUUUUAAUGUUCACAAUUUGCUUUACAGUUAUGCUCUUUUUUCGUUGGUUUUAUUAAUAUUCAAGGUUGUAGUUUGUAGAGUUUAUGCAGUUUGGACCUUUUUAUCCCUGCUUGGUUUCUUUGGUGUAGAGAUGUUUUGAUGUUAUUCUUUUAAUGUUUCCCUUCUUCUUGGGUGUUGCUUUCGUUGGAUGUUUGUUGGUGUGUGGAAGUCUCAUUGCUAAUAUUGCAUGAAGUUUCAAACGGAUUGUGAUUGUGAUGCUUCUAGUUCUGUGUGGAUGGCGUGUGACUAUUAUGCAACCUAAAAGAUCUCAAGUUGGUUAUUUUUUGUGUGGCUUUUCUUACAACUAGUUGAUGCCAUCGAUUUACUCCUUUCAAGCGUUGAUGUAAACAUAAAAUUUAUAAGUCACUGUUGAUUCCAACUCCUUUUUGUGGUAUACCGGAGCCAGCAGAACUCCCGCCAGCUACCGGAGUUUCACCACUGCCAGGUCUACAGGCUGCCCAGCCCCCGCCAGCUACAGUUGUUCCUCCAAGUGGACCAAAUUCAAACCCUUUGGAUCUCUUCCCUCAUGGACUUCUUGUAUGGGCACAAAUGCUCCUGUUGGUGUUGUUGGCAACUUGGAUUUUCUACGUAACAGUCCACAGUGUUCCAGUUUCAAGCACUUCGAGCCAUGGUGCAGGCUAAUCCCCAAAUCUUGAACGUUUUGAUUCAGAACAAUUUCAAGAUCAUCAUUUAGUUGAGGAAAGUUGGGAUGCUGGAUUUAACGAUGAUUGGAACAUUGGGAUGCUUGAAGAGUUGAAGGCAGAAGAUAGUGAGGGUAUUAUUGGUUCACAAUCACAUGUUGAAAAAAGUUUAGAUAAGUUGAAUGCUAGAAACUAAAUUCUUCGUGACCAAUUUGGGAUUGAUAUUGAAGCUAAGAGACAUGAUGAAGGGUUUUAGAGCUUCUUCAGACAGCUUAAUAACGAGUUACUGAAACAAGAAGGUGCCCCUUUAUAGCAAUGUAGUAUUAGGUUAUAUUGUUAGGGAAAACCUCUUAAUAACAAUGUAAAUUUAAUUUAUAUAUUGUAAGAACUAGAAUUGUAUGACAUUAAAUUUUAUGCAAUGG